rnacentral:tRNA from 1 species
AGAGGAUAAGAUCAGUGGUAGAGCACAUGCUUAGUAUGCAUGAGGUCCUGGGUUCAAUCCCCAGUACCACUA